AGUACAACCGACGUAUAUAAUGUGUUUAAUAUAACUCCUGUCACAUCUGUAGCUAGAUUAGCAAAUGAUUCUUACAAUUUUCUAUACCGUUUCCUACUUUUCUUUUCGAAAUAUUUUAGUACAGAAAUUUCGGACAGUGCAGAUUUCGGACAGAAUAUAGAUCUAGCUAUUAUUGUCAAGCUAUUAAACCAAUUUGAUUGUUAUAAUUAGUUAAGUAUGUUCUUUUGUAGACCCUUCAAUGAAGUUGCUACAGUAUCUAUGUGAAAGACAAGUGUUAAAAAAGUGAAAUCAACAUGGCAACAUUAGCCUAUGUUAACCUACAGUACAGUGCUGUAAUGGGAAUGCAAAUGAAACUGUAGCACUGUUGUUUGGUAAAGCAUGCACAUGUUUGCGAAAUGAGCAUCUUUAGAUCCAAUUUGGUGUAUCACAUGAAAAGAGGAUUGUAAACAAAGGACAAGUAACUUGUGCAGACAGAUAUAAGGCAGCAUGAAUAGUUAGUACUUGGUGCAUCUGCUGAUCAAUGUGUUUGUCAAAGAGGACAUUAACAAUGAUGAGGCUGUAUAUCACCAGGAUUACUGCUGAAUGAUGGAAGGUUUACAGCUAAACAAUCUUAUGAUUGGAAUCAAUAUCCAGGGACAGCUCUCCCUUACAGGGUCCAAGUGUUGUGACCUUGUUAUAUGGCCAACAAAGGGCAUUUAAGUCCUAAAGAUAGUUAAGAAUAAAGUUAUAUAGACUAUCAAACAUUUCAUCAAUU